CUAUACAUGCAGUCGAACGCGUUGGCCCAAUUGAUUGAUGGUGCUUGCACCUGAUUGAUUUUGGUCGCCAACGAGUGGCGGACGGGUGAGUAACACGUAGGUAACCUGCCCAGAAGCGGGGGACAACAUUUGGAAACAGAUGCUAAUACCGCAUAACAACGUUGUUCGCAUGAACAACGCUUAAAAGAUGGCUUCUCGCUAUCACUUCUGGAUGGACCUGCGGUGCAUUAGCUUGUUGGUGGGGUAAUGGCCUACCAAGGCGAUGAUGCAUAGCCGAGUUGAGAGACUGAUCGGCCACAAUGGGACUGAGACACGGCCCAUACUCCUACGGGAGGCAGCAGUAGGGAAUCUUCCACAAUGGGCGCAAGCCUGAUGGAGCAACACCGCGUGAGUGAAGAAGGGUUUCGGCUCGUAAAGCUCUGUUGUUAAAGAAGAACACGUAUGAGAGUAACUGUUCAUACGUUGACGGUAUUUAACCAGAAAGUCACGGCUAACUACGUGCCAGCAGCCGCGGUAAUACGUAGGUGGCAAGCGUUAUCCGGAUUUAUUGGGCGUAAAGAGAGUGCAGGCGGUUUUCUAAGUCUGAUGUGAAAGCCUUCGGCUUAACCGGAGAAGUGCAUCGGAAACUGGAUAACUUGGUGCAGAAGAGGGUAGUGGAACUCCAUGUGUAGCGGUGGAAUGCGUAGAUAUAUGGAAGAACACCAGUGGCGAAGGCGGCUACCUGGUCUGCAACUGACGCUGAGACUCGAAAGCAUGGGUAGCGAACAGGAUUAGAUACCCUGGUAGUCCAUGCCGUAAACGAUGAGUGCUAGGUGUUGGAGGGUUUCCGCCCUUCAGUGCCGGAGCUAACGCAUUAAGCACUCCGCCUGGGGAGUACGACCGCAAGGUUGAAACUCAAAGGAAUUGACGGGGGCCCGCACAAGCGGUGGAGCAUGUGGUUUAAUUCGAAGCUACGCGAAGAACCUUACCAGGUCUUGACAUCUUGCGCCACCCUAGAGAUAGGGCGUUUCCUUCGGGAACGCAAUGACAGGUGGUGCAUGGUCGUCGUCAGCUCGUGUCG
rnacentral:rRNA from 1 species